UACGUAGGUCCCGAGCGUUGUCCGGAUUUAUUGGGCGUAAAGCGAGCGCAGGUGGUUUAAUAAGUCUGAUGUAAAAGGCAGUGGCUCAACCAUUGUGUGCAUUGGAAACUGUUAGACUUGAGUGCAGUAGAGGAGAGUGGAAUUCCAUGUGUAGCGGUGAAAUGCGUAGAUAUCGGGAGGAACACCAGUGGCGAAGGCGGCUUCCUGGCCUGUUACUGACGCUGAGAUGCGAAAGCGUGGGGAGCGAACGGG
rnacentral:rRNA from 1 species